CCUACGGGCGGCAGCAGUGGGGAAUAUUUGGCAAUGGGCGCAAGCCUGACCCAGCAACGCCGCGUGAAGGAAGAAGGCUUUCGGGUUGUAAACUUCUUUUCUGAGGGACGAAGAAAGUGACGGUACCUCAGGAAUAAGCCACGGCUAACUACGUGCCAGCAGCCGCGGUAAUACGUAGGUGGCGAGCGUUAUCCGGAUUUAUUGGGUUUAAAGGGUGCGUAGGCGGAAGGUUAAGUCAGUGGUCAAAUGUCGGUGCUCAACACCGGCCUGCCGUUGAAACUGGUCUUCUUGAGUGAGCGAGAAGUAUGCGGAAUGCGUGGUGUAGCGGUGAAAUGCAUAGAUAUCACGCAGAACUCCGAUUGCGAAGGCAGCAUACCGGCGCUCAACUGACGCUGAGGCACGAAAGCGUGGGGAUCGAACAGGAUUAGAUACCCCUGUAGUC
rnacentral:rRNA from 1 species